GUAAUAUAAAAUACGGUCUCUUAGCUUUUAACUAAAAAAACUAAGAGACGUCUCUUAUUUAAGAGAUGUCUACGUCUCUUAGCUUUUUUAGUUAAAAACUAAGAGACCGUAUUUUAUAUUAC
rfam:Brassica napus, WGS project CCCW01000000 data, contig: 13379